UUUGAACGUUGAGCAAUCGUUGCGGUUGCAGAGAAAGAAUAAAAGUUAUUUACCUUUACCAACGGAUAUGUGUCAAAAGGGCCGGCCCUUUUUUCUCUCUCGUUGCAACCAUGUAGGCAUGCCAGUCCGUUAGUUCCACUUUUCUCGCGUCAUGUGGGCCAACCUCAUCUUUCCCACACUUGCCAUCUCGCGGUCAUUCUUCUUCUUCUCCUCUUUCUUCUUCGGGUUCGUCUUCGUCUUCGUUUCUUACAACGGCAUUCCUCGGGUUUGCACCCUGCAAUCUUUCGUGGCCCUUGCCGUUCGCUCUCCUCGUACUUUCUUUUGCCACGUUAAUUCUAGGGCCCCGAAACGCAUCCUCGAGAAAUCGUACACCGGUUGGGGAAAGGUAGAAUGCACGAAGGUGAACGCCACGGCAGGAUGUCUACGUUCUAAACAAUUAAGACGAGAUCAAAGUUCCAUACGAUGCGAGGGUAUCUAAUCGAAAUAAAAAUACGUGAGAAAGUAAUAGUAGGCGUAUAAUGGAACGAUAGUAGUAGAGAGAUGAUUCAACGGACAAUUAGAGUUUCUAGAUAACAUCAACGCUUUUUUCUUUUUUCGAUAUAAAGAAUUUUAGGGCGGGGGGGGAUGGGUGGACAGGGUUGAGGCGUGGAAGAAAUGAAGAAUGAGGAAGAAUAAGAAGAAAGAAGAAAAAGAAGAAGAAAUGAGGGAGGCUAUCACCGCGACCCUUCGACCGUGUACUCGGCUUAAAGUUGAGUACACACAGUUUAAUCGACGCGAAAACGGUUUCUUUAUCCUUAGAAAAACGUUCGUUUUUUCUUUUCUUUUCUCUCUCUCUCUCUCUCUCUCUCUCUCUCUUCUUCUCUUUUCUUCUUCUUUUUUCUUUUUUUUUUUCCUUCCCGAAGGAAAGUCAUUUACGUCUACACUGUUUACAGCCUAUUUUUUUUGUCUCCUUCUUUUCCGUUUUUUUUUCUUUCUUUCUUUCUUUCUUUCUUUCUUUCGGCCAUUUGUCUUACAAAGCCACUUCGUCCUUUAGUUUCUCGAUCGUUAAAGUAAGGAAAAUAGAAAUAUUUUAUUGCUAAGCGUAGUUUAGAGAAGAGGGAAGAAAAAAAAAUGUUCUCUCAUGGUUCGUCACAUUGGUGACAGAGUAAGAGGAUAAAGACGUAGGAGAAGGAGAGAGGAUAGCAGAGAAACAGAGAGAGAGAGAUGAAAGAGAGGAAAGAGAGGAGAAGAAGAAACGUUCAUUGUCAUGAGGAGACGAUGCGUGGAAACCGAGCCAGUAGUGGUGUGAGAGUAAAUGGAGUUUACUGGGAGUGGACGGUAUUCCCUCAGCCUCUUUUCGAGGGUCAUCGUUUGUGCGAAACCGCUAAGUGGACUUUGCGGCACCGAUGUGAACCAUCGUUUAAAUCGACCGAUAAGAAUAACCACGAAAACGGUGAAAACGGAGAAAGUGAGACGAGACUUAGAACACGAUUCAUCCGUAAUUGGAAACCGUACGGCGGUCACUCGGGGCAUCUAAUUCCGGGUCCCAACCCGCAUACAGGUAAAAUAAUAUUCGGGAACACGUGCUGCGAAUACGAGACAUCCUCCUCGCAUCCUCCUGAAAAUCUAGGAGCUUGGUAUUAGAUUCCUGACAGCCUAGACGUCGAUAGGAUUUCAAGAAAGUUAGAGUGCGGCAUAUAAAAAAAAAAAAAA